UGGGAGAAUGGAGUUUUAGAAGAAUUAAAAGAAGUAACUUUAGUUUUAUUAGUUUGUAUGAAAAAAUAUAUAAUAAAUGUAGCACUACAUUGGUAUAAUUAUAGAUCAUUAGUAUCGUGAGAGAAAUUUAGGUAGCUUUUGGAAAGAAGAAUUAAUUUUUCGUACCUUGUGUAUCAGGGUUUAUUAAUUAAAAUUUAUAUGUGAUAAGUUUCUCGAAUUUAAAAGAGUUAUAGAUAUAUUAUUUUCAUUGUUGCAUAAAUGUUUGUAAUAUAUUUAUUGAAGUGAAAUGCUAUUCGAUUUUAAAGAUAUCUAGUUUUUUAAGAAAAAAAUUUAAUUUUUUUUUUAUUUAUUACUAAAUUUUGUGGUUAAUUCGGUGAUAGUAAAAUUUUAUACUUGAGGGGAUGAGCUUUUGGGUAGAUUUAUAUAAUUUUAAGGAGAGAUUUACUAAGUAGAGUUAUAAGUUUUUAUCUUUUUUAGUGUGUUGUUACAAAAUAAGUGUGUUUAUAAAUUUGUAUUAGAAUUUAUGUUUGUUAUUAAAAAAUAAUUUUGAAUAAAAGAGAAUUAGCUAUAAUGAUAAAAUUAGUAUAAUUUAGAGUGAAGUUUUAAUUAGUUGCAAGGUUAGAUAAAGGAACUCGGCAAAGGUAUUUUUCACCUGUUUAUUAAAAACAUGGCCUAUUGAUAAUAAUUUUAGGUCGGGCCUGCCCAAUGAUGUAGAGUUAAAUGGCCGCGGUAGCUUGACCGUGCAAAGGUAGCAUAAUCACUAGUUUUUUAAUUGGAAGCUUGAAUGAAAGGUUUGAUGAAAAAAUUACUGUCUCUGUCUGAAUUUGUUAGAAAUUUAUUUUUGAGUAAAAAGGCUCAAAUGUGUAUAGAAGACGAGAAGACCCUGUAGAGUUUUAUAUUUGCUAUAAUAAGUGAGUAUUUGGUAUUUGUUCUUGUUUGUUAUAGGUAGUAUUUGGUUGGGGCGAUCAAAAAAUUAGGCAAACUUUUUUUUUAUUUAAACAUUUAUUUGUGAAUAUGUGAUCCUUAGGUUAAGAUUACAAGAGAGAAUUACCUCAGGGAUAACAGCGUAAUUUUUUUUUAGAGUUCUUAUCGAAAAAAAAGAUUGCGACCUCGAUGUUGGAUUAAAGAAAAUUAUUGGUGUAGCAGCUAAUAAAUUGGGUCUGUUCGACCCUUAAAAUUUUACAUGAUCUGAGUUUAAACCGGCGUGAGCCAGGUUGGUUUCUAUCUCUAUAAAAAUGUAAUAUUCUAGUACGAAAGGACCGAAUAUUGAAUUUAUAAAUUUAAAAUUAGAAAAUUAUUAAAUUGGUUACUUUGGCAGAAUAGUGCGCUAGAUUUAGAAUCUAUAUAGGUAAGUUAGGAUUACAG
rnacentral:rRNA from 1 species